GCUAUCUUGGCCGAGUGGUUAAGGCGGCAGACUUAAGCAGAUCCCAUGCAUACUUCUGCUAUCGAAAGAUGCGCAGGUUCGAACCCUGCAGAUAGCA